rnacentral:rRNA from 1 species
GAGUUUGAUUAUGGCUCAGGAUGAACGCUAGCGGGAGGCCUAACACAUGCAAGCCGAGCGGGAUUUGUUGGUUAGCUUGCUAACUAAUAAUGAGAGCGGCGUACGGGUGCGUAACACGUGUGCAACCUGCCUUUAUCUGGGGGAUAGCCUUUCGAAAGGAAGAUUAAUACCCCAUAAUAUAUUAAUUGGCAUCAAUUGAUAUUGAAAGCUCCGGCGGAUAGAGAUGGGCACGCGUAAGAUUAGCUAGUUGGUGAGGUAACGGCUCACCAAGGCUGCGAUCUUUAGGGGGCCUGAGAGGGUGAUCCCCCACACUGGUACUGAGACACGGACCAGACUCCUACGGGAGGCAGCAGUGAGGAAUAUUGGACAAUGGGUGAGAGCCUGAUCCAGCCAUCCCGCGUGAAGGACUAAGGACCUAUGGUUUGUAAACUUCUUUUAUACAGGGAUAAACCUACUCUCGUGAGGGUAGCUGAAGGUACUGUAUGAAUAAGCCCCGGCA